UCAUCCCUUCUUUGCUAUCUGCUU
rnacentral:piRNA from 1 species